GACGAACGCUGGCGGCGUGCUUAACACAUGCAAGUCGAGCGGAAAGGCCCUUCGGGGACCCCGACGGGGGAAGGGGUGGGAAACACGUGGGUAAUCGCCCCAAGCCCCUGGGAUAGCCACCGGAAGCGGGGUUUAAUCCCGGUUCCGCCAACUUCCUGCAUGGGUUGGUGGUGGAAGGUUUUUCGGCCUGGGUUGGGCGCGCGGCCUAUCAGCUUGUUGGUGAGGAAAUGGCUCACCAAGGCUUCGACGGGUAGCCGGCCUGGGAGGGUGCCCGGCCACACUGGGACUGAGACACGGCCCAGACUCCUACGGGAGGCAGCAGUGGGGAAUAUUGGACAAUGGGCGGAAGCCUGAUCCAGCAACGCCGCGUGAGGGAUGACGGCCUUCGGGUUGUAAACCUCUUUCAGCACAGACGAAGCGCAAGUGACGGUAUGUGCAGAAGAAGGACCGGCCAACUACGUGCCAGCCGCCGCCGUAAGAC
rnacentral:rRNA from 1 species